rnacentral:lncRNA from 1 species
CUUUAAACAAAGCAUUAUGGGUAUUUCUAUUUACGCCAUACCAACAGUUUUACGCCCGUAAGAAAAUUAACGCCUUGCUUAUUUCAAUUUACGCCAGGUUUACUGCUUUUUUCUACGCCCGUAAGGACUACAAAUUUACGUUUCCUGCUCCCUUACGCCUGGAUCUAGACACGUAACUACCACUUACGCCUGGUUUGCGCCUUAUUUCCAGGCGUAAUACGCCUUAUAAUUUCGUACGGG